CGUGUAGGCGGGCAGGCACGUCGGUCGCUGAAAGCCCCCGGCUCAACCGGGAACGGGCGCCGAUACGGCCGGCCUGGAGGGGGUAGGGGGAGCCGGAACUUCCGGUGGAGCGGUGAAAUGCGUUGAGAUCGGAAGGAACGCCCGUGGCGAAAGCGGGCUCCUGGACCUCACCUGACGCUGAGACGCGAAAGCUAGGGGAGCGAACG
rnacentral:rRNA from 1 species